rnacentral:rRNA from 1 species
AUUGAACGCUGGCGGCAGGCCUAACACAUGCAAGUCGAGCGGAUGAAGGGAGCUUGCUCCUGGAUUCAGCGGCGGACGGGUGAGUAAUGCCUAGGAAUCUGCCUGGUAGUGGGGGAUAACGUCCGGAAACGGGCGCUAAUACCGCAUACGUCCUGAGGGAGAAAGUGGGGGAUCUUCGGACCUCACGCUAUCAGAUGAGCCUAGGUCGUAUUAGCUAGUUGUUGGGGUAAAGGCCUACCAAGGCGACGAUCCGUAACUGGUCUGAGAGGAUGAUCAGUCAAACUGGAACGGAGACACGGACCAGACUACUAAGGGAGGCAGCAGUGGGGAAUAUUGGACAAUGGGCGAAAGCAUGAUCCAGCAAUGCCGCGUGUGUGAAGAAGGUCUUCGGAUUGUAAAGCACUUUAAGUUGGGAGGAAGGGCAGUAAGUCAAAACCUUGCUGUUUUGACGUUAACAACAGAAUAAGCACCGGCUAACUUCGUG